UUGUUGUUAUAUAGAUAGAGUCAUCAUAUGCUGCUGCUUCAUGGUUCUGUAUGUAAUUAGAUCCAACCAAAUCAAAUUGUUGCAUUACAUUAUAUUGUUUCAUCUCUGUUUUGUUUUAAGGAAAUAUAUAAAGAAAGAAAGAAAGAAAAGGUCUCACUUGACCUGUUCCCUGUCUCCUCUGAUCUGAUCUCAUGAGAAAUUUCAGUGGUAGGUUCAACUUUCUCUCUACCUGUUACCUUAUUAGGAUAUGAUGAUGAACAAUCUUCAUGCAAGAAAUUAAACUAACAAUGAAUUAGAGAAAUGAUUGAAAGUAAUAAUAAAAAAUAAUAAUGAAGUUUGUUUGGUGCAGAUGAGAGAAGAUUCCUCACCUUUCCUUUUGAUCAUUAAUGAUGAUAGUUGUUGGCGUUGCCCUUUUGGUUUAGUGAAUCCACAUAUCCCCCCUUCCUCCCUCCUACAUUUCUGUGAAAAAGGUUAACCUUUGUCACUACAUGACAUCAUUUUUUUAACCACUCCUCUUUCUUCAUUUCUCUUCUUCUCUCUCUCCUGACACCAUUUCAUUUUUAACCUCUCCCUCUCUCUCUCUCUCUCUCUCUCUCUGCCAUGCUGUCUCUUGAAAGCAAUGUUGGUGCUGAAAUCUUGGGUAAUUUAUGAUACUACCAUUCCAUUGCUCUAUCUAUGUAUCUCUUCUUCACCUGUCACUAGGUUUUCAACCGUAUUACAGUUUCUGAACACACACACACACACACACACACACACAAAUUUAUUACCAGAAUUUUCACAUCCAAUCAAUUGCCUCCUCCUCCUCCUUCUUCUUCUUCUUUCUUCUCAUUAUAUAUAUAAUAUUGCACAUGUCAUAAGGGAAAGGAAGGGCCCUAGGUGGCUAGUUAGGAUUAUAUUACAGAAUGAAGGGAAGGAAAAAGAGAAAAAGAGAGAGAGAAAGAGAUAAGCUUUACCAAAUUGAAGGGCAUAAAGUUAAGAUACAUUAUUAUGAAGAUUUAGCCAAAGAGAAUGCAACAAGUUGUACAGAGAGGAGUAGGACCACCAAAGAUAUAUCAGAUUAAAUCAAUCUGCCACAAGACACAGUGGCAUGGCAUGCCACUUCAAUUCUGAUCUCAUCUCUCGUCUAUGUAUCUGCAUCUGCAUCUGCAUCUUUCUUUUUUUAUCAGAAUUAUAUCAUUAGCAUAUUGAUUUCAAGAGAUUCUGUCUUGCUCCUACUAUUUAUAUAUCUAUAUGUGUGCGGUAAUAAUUAAACUCCUCUCUCCUCUAUAUAUAUAUAUAUAUUAUAUUAUAUAUAUUAUGCAC
rnacentral:lncRNA from 1 species